GGGUCAGUAGGUUGGUCGUGCCACCGGUACGUACUGGUCUCACUGAUCCCUCCUUCCUGAAGAACCGUAAUGCCAUUAAUUUGGUGUUGCGGGGAAACAGGACUGUUACUUUGAAAAGAUUAGAGUGUUUAAAGCAAGCUAACGCUUGAAUACAUUAGCAUGGAAUAAUGAAAUAGGACGAUCGAUCCUAUUUUGUUGGUUUCUAGGAUUGACGUA
rnacentral:rRNA from 1 species